UGCUCUGAGUACCGGCGCCAGCUUC
rnacentral:piRNA from 1 species